AAUUACAGGGUGAUGUCUCAGGAUGAGUUAAGAGAUAGGUAAGGUUAAUCCUACCAUGAAAUUUCUUAAAAUAGGAGCAUGCAAAUUCUUCUGAAAGGCAUAGUCCUUUAAUUUUAAUUUAUAAUGUUGCAAUCUUAAAAUGGCAUGACAAAGUAUAGGAAGAUUUUAAUACAGUUUACCCUUGAACAAUGUGAGUUUGAACUGCAUAGGUCCACUUACAUGCUAGAUUUUUUUUCCAGUAGUAAACACUAGAAUAGUAUACAAUCCAUGCUUGAUUGAAUCUAUGGAUUCAGAGGAACUGUGAGCACAGAGGGUUGACUAUAAGCUACGCACAGAUUUUCAGCAACAGAAAAUGUGCAGAGGAUCCAGACUCAUGGCAAUGCCAGAUCCUUAACCCACUGAGCGAGGCCAGGGAUUGAACCCCCAACCUCAUGGUUCCUAAUUGGAUUCAUUAACCACUGGGCCACAAUAGGAACUCCAAGAUACUACUUUAAAAAGACAUUUCAAUGGAAAUAUAAGGAUUCUCUAUUAAACAACUCUUAACGAAAACGGGAAAUACAAGUCCUAAUUUCAGAAUUUCCAAAAAUGAAUACUAAAACUCCAAAUAUUCAGAUCUAUGUGAUACAAAUAAAGAAAUGAUAAGAAAAAAUUCAUAAUAUCCAAUGUUUAUAUCAAUAAAUAUGAAAGAAUGAUAUAAAUGAAUUAAUUUCUCAACAUAGAAAAGUAGAAACACAACAACAUAUAAUGCUUUGAAAAAAAUAAAGCUACCAGAAGUUCCCUUCAUGGCUCAGCAUUUAACAAACUCAACUAGAAUCCAUGAGGAUGCGGGUUCCAUCCCUGGCGCCACUCAGUGGUUGAGGAUCCGGCAUUGCUGUGGGCUGUGUUGUAGGUCACAGAUGUGGCUCAGAUCCAGUGUUGCUGUGGCUGUGGCAUAGGCUGCAGCUGUAGCUCCAACUGGACCCCUAGCUUGGGAACUUCGUAUGACAUGAAUAUGGCCCUAAAAAGGAAAAAAAAAAAAAGUAAAGCCACCCAAGAGAAGUCAAUAAUGAAGAAAAAGAUUGUUAGUAGAAAAUUGGCAGAACACUGUAAGCCAGGUAUGAUAGAAAAAAAUAAAAAUCAUUUUUAAAAAAAGACCAAAGUUUGGAGUUCCUGUCAUGGCUCAGUGGAAACGAAUCUGACUAGGAACCAUGAAGUUGCAGGUUUGAUCCCUGGCCUUACUUAGUGGGUUAAGGAUCUGGCGUUGCCAUGAGCUGUGGUGUAGGUCACAGACACGGCUCAGAUCUGGUGUUGCUGUCGCUCUGGCGUAGGCCAGCAGCAACAGCUCCAAUUAGACCCCUAGCCUGGGAACCUCCAUAUGC
rnacentral:lncRNA from 1 species